CCUACGGGAGGCAGCAGUGAGGAAUAUUGGACAAUGGCCGGAAGGCUGAUCCAGCCAUGCCGCGUGAAGGAAUAAGGUCCUAUGGAUUGUAAACUUCUUUUGUACGAGAGCAAUAAGUGUCACGCGUGACACGAUGAGAGUAUCGUACGAAUAAGCAUCGGCUAACUCCGUGCCAGCAGCCGCGGUAAU
rnacentral:rRNA from 1 species